rnacentral:snRNA from 1 species
GUGUUUGCUUCGCAGCACAUAUAAUAAAAUUGAAAUGAUACAGGGAAGAUUAAUUAGCAUGGCCCCUGGGUAAGGAUGACAUGCAAAUGUGUGAAGCAUUCUAUAUUUUU